GCGCCUAUAGCUUAAUUGGAUAGAGCAUUGGCCUCCGGAGCCAAUUAUUCCGGUUCAAGUCCGGAUAGGCGCG
rnacentral:tRNA from 1 species